rnacentral:rRNA from 1 species
GAUGAACGCUGGCGGCGUGCCUAAUACAUGCAAGUCGAACGCUUCACUUCGGUGAAGAGUGGCGAACGGGUGAGUAAUACAUAAGUAACCUGGCAUCUACAGGGGGAUAACUGAUGGAAACGUCAGCUAAGACCGCAUAGGUGUAGAGAUCGCAUGAACUCUAUAUGAAAAGUGCUACGGGACUGGUAGAUGAUGGACUUAUGGCGCAUUAGCUUGUUGGUAGGGUAACGGCCUACCAAGGCGACGAUGCGUAGCCGACCUGAGAGGGUGACCGGCCACACUGGAACUGAGACACGGCCCAGACUCCUACGGGAGGCAGCAGUAGGGAAUUUUCGGCAAUGGGGGAAACCCUGACCGAGCAACGCCGCGUGAAGGAAGAAGUAAUUCGUUAUGUAAACUUCUGUCAUAGAGGAAGAACGGUGGAUAUAGGGAAUGAUAUCCGAGUGACGGUACUCUAUAAGAAAGCCACGGCUAACUACGUG